AACGAACGCUGGCGGCAGGCCUAACACAUGCAAGUCGAGCGCCCGGAUUUAUCCGGGAGCGGCGCACGGGUGAGUAACGCGUGGGAACAUGCCCUGAAGUACGGAACAACCUGGGGAAACCUUGGCUAAUACCGUAUACGCCCUGAGGGGGAAAGAUUUAUCGCUUUGGGAUUGGCCCGCGUUGGAUUAGCUGGUUGGUGUGGUAACGGCGCACCGAGGCGACGAUCCAUAACUGGUCUGAGAGGAUGACCAGUCACACUGGGACUGAGACACGGCCCAGACUCCUACGGGAGGCAGCAGUGGGGAAUAUUGGACAAUGGGCGAAAGCCUGAUCCAGCCAUGCCGCGUGAGUGAAGAAGGCCUUCGGGUUGUAAAGCUCUUUCAGCGGGGACGAUGAUGACGGUACCCGCAGAAGAAGCCCCGGCUAGCUUCGUGCCAGCCGCCGCCGUAAUAC
rnacentral:rRNA from 1 species